rnacentral:tRNA from 1 species
GCCCGGGUGGCUCAGUCGGUUGAGCGUCCGACUUCGGCUCAGGUCAUGAGCUCGCGGUCUGUGAGUUCGAGCCCCGCGUCGGGCU